CUCGCAACCCGACUUGAGCGUAAAUCCUUUUUUGCUUUUAAUUAAGUUCUAUUGAAUUUGAAAUUUUCUGCAAAAAAGAUUGGGAGCGGAAGGCGGAAAAGUUG
rnacentral:sRNA from 1 species